rnacentral:rRNA from 1 species
AGAGUUUGAUCCUGGCUCAGGAUGAACGCUAGCUACAGGCUUAACACAUGCAAGUCGAGGGGAAACGAUAUUGGAAGCUUGCUUCCGAUAGGCGUCGACCGGCGCACGGGUGAGUAACGCGUAUCCAACCUGCCCACCACUUGGGGAUAACCUUGCGAAAGUAAGACUAAUACACAAUGACGUCUCUAGAAGACAUCUGAAGGAGAUUAAAGAUUUAUCGGUGAUGGAUGGGGAUGCGUCUGAUUAGCUUGUUGGUGAGGUAACGGCCCACCAAGGCGACGAUCGGUAGCCGGACUGAGAGGUUGAACGGCCACAUUGGGACUGAGACACGGCCCAGACUCCUACGGGAGGCAGCAGUGGGGAAUAUUGCACAAUGGGGGAAACCCUGAUGCAGCGACGCCGCGUGGAGGAAGAAGGUCUUCGGAUUGUAAACUCCUGUUGUUGAGGAAGAUAAUGACGGUACUCAACAAGGAAGUGACGGCUAACUACGUGCCAGCAGCCGCGGUAAAACGUAGGUCACAAGCGUUGUCCGGAAUUACUGGGUGUAAAGGGAGCGCAGGCGGGCGAUCAAGUUGGAAGUGAAAUCCAUGGGCUCAACCCAUGAACUGCUUUCAAAACUGGUCGUCUUGAGUAGUGCAGAGGUAGGCGGAAUUCCCGGUGUAGCGGUGGAAUGCGUAGAUAUCGGGAGGAACACCAGUGGCGAAGGCGGCCUACUGGGCACCAACUGACGCUGAGGCUCGAAAGUGUGGGUAGCAAACAGGAUUAGAUACCCUGGUAGUCCACACCGUAAACGAUGAUUACUAGGUGUUGGGAGAUUGACCCUCUCAGUGCCGCAGUUAACACAAUAAGUAAUCCACCUGGGGAGUACGACCGCAAGGUUGAAACUCAAAGGAAUUGACGGGGGCCCGCACAAGCAGUGGAGUAUGUGGUUUAAUUCGACGCAACGCGAAGAACCUUACCAAGUCUUGACAUCCCUUGACGAUGCUGGAAACAGUAUUUCUCUUCGGAGCAAGGAGACAGGUGGUGCAUGGUUGUCGUCAGCUCGUGUCGUGAGAUGUUGGGUUAAGUCCCGCAACGAGCGCAACCCUUAUGGUCAGUUACUACGCAAGAGGACUCUGGCCAGACUGCCGUUGACAAAACGGAGGAAGGUGGGGAUGACGUCAAAUCAUCAUGCCCUUUAUGACUUGGGCUACACACGUACUACAAUGGCGUUAAACAAAGAGAAGCAAGACCGCGAGGUGGAGCAAAACUCAGAAACAACGUCCCAGUUCGGACUGCAGGCUGCAACUCGCCUGCACGAAGUCGGAAUUGCUAGUAAUCGUGGAUCAGCAUGCCACGGUGAAUACGUUCCCGGGCCUUGUACACACCGCCCGUCACACCAUGAGAGCCGGGGGGACCCGAAGUCGGUAGUCUAACCGCAAGGAGGACGCCGCCGAAGGUAAAACUGGUGAUUGGGGUGAAGUCGUAACAAGGU